GGGUUGUGAGGUUAAGCGACUAAGCGUACACGGUGGAUGCCCUGGCAGUCAGAGGCGAUGAAGGGCGUGCUAAUCUGCGAUAAGCGCCGGUAAGGUGAUAUGAACCGUUAUAACCGGCGAUACCCGAAUGGGGAAACCCAGUGUGACUCGUCACACUAUCAUUAACUGAAUCCAUAGGUU
rnacentral:rRNA from 1 species